AAGUGCUGGGCAGGUUAAUGAAUGGGUCCAAGCUUGACCUCUCUUUCCCAAAGGAGCCUGGAACUGUGAACAGUGACAGAUGAUCUAGAAAACUGGCUUCUCAGUAAUAGGCAUGAGACACCUGACCACCAAGUCUCAGAGGAUAUCCAUCAGGACCUACCUCGAUCUUCCUCAUCACUAGAAGUCCAUCAAUGAUUUUUCCUGCAGAAGAACAUUAAGUGAGAGGGCCUUCAGAUCAAGCCAUCUGUCCCUGCCUUUGAAGAACUCACAAGGAAAAGGAAGCUCUAACAACUAUGCUACAGAUGGCUCUGGUGCAGGCCUGUAGACCUGGUUCCUUUGGUGGCUGAGGCAGGAGGACUGUUGAGCUCAGGGUCUCUGUGGGAGACAGAAUGACUUCAAGGCCGUCUUAAGCAAUGGAGUGGGAUCCUACUGCAAAGGAAAAAGCAGAAAGAGGGCUGAGGGGCUGGCCAGGGGUCAGAGGGUAAAGGCAAUUGCUCCAUAAGCCUGACAACCUGAGCUUAACCCCUAGAAUUCAGGUAAAGGAGAGAGGAGAGAACUGACUUCCAAAAGUUGUCCUCUGACUUCCACAUACCCACACACUGGAAACAUGCACCCUCAACAUCACGCACAUACAUAAACUCACAAUAAAUAAGCUGGGCGUGGUGGCCCUUGGAACAUAGAAGCAGGUAGAUCUAUUUGAGUUUGAAACCAGCCUGUCUAUAUACCAAGUUUCAUGUCAGUCAGAGUUACAUGGUCAGAUCCUGUCUUAAAACAAAAAUAACAAAUAAAGAGUUGCAAAGG